CGUAGGUGAACCUGCGGAAGGAUCAUUCAUAAUAAAGUGUUUUAUGGCACUUUUUAAAAAUCCAUAUCCACCUUGUGUGCAAUGUUAGAUCUCGUCAAUUUUGGCGAGAUUUUUAUACAUCAACUCAUUCUUUAACUAAUUUGUCUGAAAAAUAUUAUGAAUACUUAAUUCAAAAUACAACUUUCAACAACGGAUCUCUUGGCUCUC
rnacentral:misc_RNA from 1 species